GAUGAACGCUGGCGGCGUGCCUAAUACAUGCAAGUCGAGCGAACAGACGAGGAGCUUGCUCCUCUGACGUUAGCGGCGGACGGGUGAGUAACACGUGGAUAACCUACCUAUAAGACUGGGAUAACUUCGGGAAACCGAAGCUAAUACCGGAUAAUAUAUUGAACCGCAUGGUUCAAUAGUGAAAGACGGUUUUGCUGUCACUUAUAGAUGGAUCCGCGCCGCAUUAGCUAGUUGGUAAGGUAACGGCUUACCAAGGCGACGAUGCGUAGCCGACCUGAGAGGGUGAUCGGCCACACUGGAACUGAGACACGGUCCAGACUCCUACGGGAGGCAGCAGUAGGGAAUCUUCCGCAAUGGGCGAAAGCCUGACGGAGCAACGCCGCGUGAGUGAUGAAGGUCUUCGGAUCGUAAAACUCUGUUAUUAGGGAAGAACAAAUGUGUAAGUAACUAUGCACGUCUUGACGGCACCUAAUCAGAAAGCCACGGCUAACUACGUG
rnacentral:rRNA from 1 species